rnacentral:rRNA from 1 species
GAUGAACGCUGGCGGCGUGCCUAAUACAUGCAAGUCGAGCGAACAGACGAGGAGCUUGCUCCUCUGACGUUAGCGGCGGACGGGUGAGUAACACGUGGAUAACCUACCUAUAAGACUGGGAUAACUUCGGGAAAACGGAGCUAAUACCGGAUAAUAUAUUGAACCGCAUGGUUCAAUAGUGAAAGACGGUUUUGCUGUCACUUAUAGAUGGAUCCGCGCCGCAUUAGCUAGUUGGUAAGGUAACGGCUUACCAAGGCGACGAUGCGUAGCCGACCUGAGAGGGUGAUCGGCCACACUGGAACUGAGACACGGUCCAGCCUCCUACGGGAGGCAGCAUAAGGGAAUCUUCCGCAAUGGGCGAAAGCCUAACGGAGCAAGGCCGCGUGAGGGAUGAAGGUCUUCGGAUCGUAAAACUCUGUUAUUAGGGAAGAACAAAGGUGUAAGUAACUAUGCACGUCUUGACGGUACCUAAUCAGAAAGCCACGGCUAACUACGUG